CCUGCCUCAACCAGUCGUUUCCAGACGAGUUGGGCACCACAUAUGAAAUGCCAGGAGAUUUCUAUUCAUUAAUCGCAGCAAAGACAGGACCGUCCUGUGUGUGAAGCCAGGGGUCACAGGCCUGGCUGAGAGGGGGCGAAAGGCAGGCUACACCCUGGGCAGUCCAUCACAGGGCUGUUUUCACAUCGCAAAAAGGAAUUUGGCCAAUGUAUUAAAAAAUGACUUCCAGGGUGUUUCUAUUUCUCGUUGGAACUGUGUUCAUCUGCUACCAGG